rnacentral:rRNA from 1 species
GACAGAGGCCACGAGCGUUAGGCGGAAUCACUGGGCUUAAAGCGUGUGUAGGCGGACCGUUAAGUGCCCGCGUGAAAUCCCACGGCUUAACCGUGGAACCGCUUGGUAUACUGGCGGUCUUGAGCCACUUAGGGGCUACCGGAACAGAUGGUGGAGCGGUGAAAUGCGUAGAUAUCAUCUGGAACGCCUAUGGUGAAAACAGGUAGCUGGGAGUGUGCUGACGCUGAGACACGAAAGCCAGGGGAGCGAACGGG